GGGUGGGUGGCUCAGUGGUUAGAGCCUAGGCUUGGGGGCCAAAGGUCCCGGGUUCGAAUCUCGUGACAGGUAG
rnacentral:tRNA from 1 species